ensembl:lncRNA
GAACCACUGAACAGCACUGUGACUGAACUGACUAAAAAAGGUCUAGGAACCACUGAACAGCACUGUGACUGAACUGACUAAAAAAGGUCUAGGAACCACUGAACAGCACUGUGACUGAACUGACUAAAAAAGGUCUAGGAACCACUGAACAGCACUCCCCCAAUCCAAAUAAACGACAGUUGUUCUAUCGCUCCAAAGAAAUGCUCCCUAGUCAAGAAAUAAAUAUCUCAGCUCUAAAACACCCAAUGCUGAACAUAGAAGGUGAUCAAACAUGGUAUGGGAUCACACUGCUUCCAAACGAAGCUGAAACGGGACACCCAUCAUUGGUCUACUUAUUAAGACUUCCUUGCAGAGACAACAUUUGGGCACCAUGGGUUAUCUUACACCCUUCAUCCUCUCUGUCCCUCUGAGGACAAUACUAUAAAAGCAGGAUCAAUGAGUUAGCCAGCUAACUUGCUUUAACGUUAUGAAAAUAGCUUUAAGCUUGAAAUGGGCAUUGUCUAAUUGACUAAACAACCAAAGACACACAUAUCUAAGUUUAGCUUUUCUUAAAUGAAACAGAAAACCAAUAGUUAUUUCUGGUUAUUUAUCAAAGUUAGAUGGUUAACUAUGGUUAAUUAAAAGAUAGCUGGUUAAUUGAUUCUGCUUUGUAGUACCAAAAUAGUACCGAAACUAUAGCAACGACUGUGUUCCUGUUUUCAGAGUAUUCCGUCUAGUAUGAGAUUAAUCAGUUUUAGAGACUGCUAUGUCAACUCAAGAGUUUGGUACCUGCCAUUGCCAAAAUAACAUGUUGUCCGGCAAUCUGCGCUUUAUCGGCCAGAACACUAUUUUCCUGGGUUUCAAAAAAUCAGUCUUUGUUGGCUUUGAAAAAAAAUGUGCAAUCCUAUUGCUCAUGUUUUUUUUCUUUCAAACAUGUAAUCUCAGCCAAACAGUCCGUGUCGUUUUUUUUUUAGAAAAAUCAAAUCUAUAAGACUAAUGUUCAUGUUUCCUCUCAGCUUUUCCUGGCUGAGGUCUUAUCCAGAGUUUCAUAGCCUCAAGAAACUUCCUGGUUAAAGAAUGUACAUUAAAAUGUGUUUAAAUUCCAGGUAACGGUCAGAGAUUGUUCAGGCCCCCUUGUGGCAGUUCUGGGGUAUGAUCUUUCCUCUUCUUAAAAAGGCUCUUGAGUUUGGACGACUUCGUGCUUUUGUCUUUGUCCUUUUGGUGCCUCUCGCCUCUCAUCUCCGGGGGCAACGUGUUUAGGGACCGGCCGCUCCUCGGGGGCGGAACAGGAGGAUUCCCUUCUCGCUCUCUUCCUUCCAUGAUCCUCUGGGGCAGGUCAGGGGUUGUUGCUGGGGUGAUACAGGACUUCUCCAGAAUACCGUCAUACACAAGUUCGGUCAGGUCGGAGGUAUAAGGGUCAGGGGUCUGGGUUUGUUUCCAUGGUGUGGACAAGGUGAGGUCAGGUUGUCCGAACUGACCCCAAUCCAAAACCUGG